rnacentral:tRNA from 1 species
CAGGGAAUAGUUUAAUAAAAAUAUUAAUUUUGGAGAUUAAAGUUGAGAGUGCCUUUUCCCUGA